rnacentral:rRNA from 1 species
CUGCGGAAGGAUCAUUAAUGAAAAUGUGUUGCCGGGGCCCAUAAUCCCGGCACUAACCUUCUUAUCCAUAACACCUGUGCACUGUUGGAUGCUUGCAUCCACUUUUAUACUAAACAAUUUGUAACAAAUGUAGUCUUAUUAUAAUUAAUAAAACUUUUAACAACGGAUCUCUUGGCUCUCGCAUCGAUGAAGAACGCAGCGAAAUGCGAUAAGUAAUGUGAAUUGCAGAAUUCAGUGAAUCAUCGAAUCUUUGAACGCACCUUGCGCUCCUUGGUAUUCCGAGGAGCAUGCCUGUUUGAGUGUCAUAAACCUCUCAAACCCAAGUUUUGGAUUUAUCCUUGCUUGAGUUUGGAUUUGGGUGUUUGCCAGUGAUGAACUGACUCACCUUAAAAGUAUUAGCUAGAUCUGUCUUUGACUGGUUUGACUUGGCAUAAUAAGUAUUUUGCUAAGGACAUCUUCGGAUGGCCAGGACUUGACUUUUGUCUGCUUACUAAACCUUACUUUAAGUGCAUCUCUGGUGUUACUUAUAGUAUUACUUUGACAUAUGGCCUCAAAUCAGGUAGGACUACCCGCUGAACUUAAGCAUAUCAAUA